AACGAACGCUGGCGGCAUGCCUAACACAUGCAAGUCGAACGAGACCUUCGGGUCUUGUGUCGCACGGGUUCUUAACGCGUUGGAACCUGCCCUUAUGUUCGGAAUAACUCCCCUAAUUGGGUGCUAAUACCGGUUAAUUUCUUCUGACCAAAGAUUUAUCGACUUUGGUUGGGCCCGCGUUUGAUUAGCUUGUUGGUAGGGUAAAAGCCUACCAAGGCGACGAUCCAUAGCUGGUUUGAGAGGAUGAUCAGCCACACUGGGACUGAGACACGGCCCAGACUACUACGGGAGGGAGGAGAGGGGAAUAUAGGAAAAUGGGGGAAAGCAUGAAGGAGCAAUGACGGGAGAGUGAUGAAGGCAGUAGGGAAGUAAAGCGCUAUUAACAGGGAUGAUAAUGACAGUAACGGGAGAAUAAGCAACGGCUAACUCCGUG
rnacentral:rRNA from 1 species